rnacentral:tRNA from 1 species
GUGGUCGUAGCUCAAUUGGUUAGAGCACCGGGUUGUGAUCCCGGGGGUUACGGGUUCGAGUCCCGCCGAUCACC